rnacentral:rRNA from 1 species
ACGGAGGAUGCGAGCGUUAUCCGGAGUUAUUGGGUUUAAAGGGUGCGUAGGCGGAUUGAUAAGUCAGUGGUGAAAUACUGCAGCUUAACUGUAGAAUUGCCGUUGAUACUGUCAGUCUUGAGUAUGGUUAAGGUAGGCGGAAUGUGUAAUGUAGUGGUGAAAUGCUUAGAUAUUACACAGAACACCAGUUGCGAAGGCAGCUUACUGGGCCAAAACUGACGCUGAGGCACGAAAGCGUGGGGAGCGAACAG